AGCCUGAAUCAGUGUGUGUGUUAGUGGAAGCGUCUGGAAAGGCGCGCGAUACAGGGUGACAGUCCCGUACACAAAAAUGCACAUGCUGUGAGCUCGAUGAGUAGGGCGGGACACGUGGUAUCCUGUCUGAAUAUGGGGGGACCAUCCUCCAAGGCUAAAUACUCCUGACUGACCGAUAGUGAACCAGUACCGUGAGGGAAAGGCGAAAAGAACCCCGGCGAGGGGAGUGAAAAAGAACCUGAAACCGUGUACGUACAAGCAGUGGGAGCACGCUUAGGCGUGUGACUGCGUACCUUUUGUAUAAUGGGUCAGCGACUUAUAUUCUGUAGCAAGGUUAACCGAAUAGGGGAGCCGAAGGGAAACCGAGUCUUAACUGGGCGUUAAGUUGCAGGGUAUAGACCCGAAACCCGGUGAUCUAGCCAUGGGCAGGUUGAAGGUUGGGUAACACUAACUGGAGGACCGAACCGACUAAUGUUGAAAAAUUAGCGGAUGACUUGUGGCUGGGGGUGAAAGGCCAAUCAAACCGGGAGAUAGCUGGUUCUCCCCGAAAGCUAUUUAGGUAGCGCCUCGUGAAUUCAUCUCCGGGGGUAGAGCACUGUUUCGGCAAGGGGGUCAUCCCGACUUACCAACCCGAUGCAAACUGCGAAUACCGGAGAAUGUUAUCACGGGAGACACACGGCGGGUGCUAACGUCCGUCGUGAAGAGGGAAACAACCCAGACCGCCAGCUAAGGUCCCAAAGUCAUGGUUAAGUGGGAAACGAUGUGGGAAGGCCCAGACAGCCAGGAUGUUGGCUUAGAAGCAGCCAUCAUUUAAAGAAAGCGUAAUAGCUCACUGGUCGAGUCGGCCUGCGCGGAAGAUGUAACGGGGCUAAACCAUGCACCGAAGCUGCGGCAGCGACGCUUAUGCGUUGUUGGGUAGGGGAGCGUUCUGUAAGCCUGCGAAGGUGUGCUGUGAGGCAUGCUGGAGGUAUCAGAAGUGCGAAUGCUGACAUAAGUAACGAUAAAGCGGGUGAAAAGCCCGCUCGCCGGAAGACCAAGGGUUCCUGUCCAACGUUAAUCGGGGCAGGGUGAGUCGACCCCUAAGGCGAGGCCGAAAGGCGUAGUCGAUGGGAAACAGGUUAAUAUUCCUGUACUUGGUGUUACUGCGAAGGGGGGACGGAGAAGGCUAUGUUGGCCGGGCGACGGUUGUCCCGGUUUAAGCGUGUAGGCUGGUUUUCCAGGCAAAUCCGGAAAACUAAGGCUGAGGCGUGAUGACGAGGCACUACGGUGCUGAAGCAACAAAUGCCCUGCUUCCAGGAAAAGCCUCUAAGCAUCAGGUAACAUCAAAUCGUACCCCAAACCGACACAGGUGGUCAGGUAGAGAAUACCAAGGCGCUUGAGAGAACUCGGGUGAAGGAACUAGGCAAAAUGGUGCCGUAACUUCGGGAGAAGGCACGCUGAUAUGUAGGUGAAGUCCCUCGCGGAUGGAGCUGAAAUCAGUCGAAGAUACCAGCUGGCUGCAACUGUUUAUUAAAAACACAGCACUGUGCAAACACGAAAGUGGACGUAUACGGUGUGACGCCUGCCCGGUGCCGGAAGGUUAAUUGAUGGGGUUAGCGCAAGCGAAGCUCUUGAUCGAAGCCCCGGUAAACGGCGGCCGUAACUAUAACGGUCCUAAGGUAGCGAAAUUCCUUGUCGGGUAAGUUCCGACCUGCACGAAUGGCGUAAUGAUGGCCAGGCUGUCUCCACCCGAGACUCAGUGAAAUUGAACUCGCUGUGAAGAUGCAGUGUACCCGCGGCAAGACGGAAAGACCCCGUGAACCUUUACUAUAGCUUGACACUGAACAUUGAGCCUUGAUGUGUAGGAUAGGUGGGAGGCUUUGAAGUGUGGACGCCAGUCUGCAUGGAGCCGACCUUGAAAUACCACCCUUUAAUGUUUGAUGUUCUAACGUGGACCCGUAAUCCGGGUUGCGGACAGUGUCUGGUGGGUAGUUUGACUGGGGCGGUCUCCUCCUAAAGAGUAACGGAGGAGCACGAAGGUUGGCUAAUCCUGGUCGGACAUCAGGAGGUUAGUGCAAUGGCAUAAGCCAGCUUGACUGCGAGCGUGACGGCGCGAGCAGGUGCGAAAGCAGGUCAUAGUGAUCCGGUGGUUCUGAAUGGAAGGGCCAUCGCUCAACGGAUAAAAGGUACUCCGGGGAUAACAGGCUGAUACCGCCCAAGAGUUCAUAUCGACGGCGGUGUUUGGCACCUCGAUGUCGGCUCAUCACAUCCUGGGGCUGAAGUAGGUCCCAAGGGUAUGGCUGUUCGCCAUUUAAAGUGGUACGCGAGCUGGGUUUAGAACGUCGUGAGACAGUUCGGUCCCUA
rnacentral:rRNA from 1 species